GACAGAGGGGGCAAGCGUUGCUCGGAAUCACUGGGCGUAAAGGGCGCGUAGGCGGGAUGGCAAGUCAGUCGUGAAAUCUCUCGGCUCAACCGAGAAACGUCGGCUGAUACUGCCGUUCUUGAGGGAUGCAGAGGAGACUGGAAUUCCCGGUGUAGCGGUGAAAUGUGUAGAGAUCGGGAGGAACCCCUGUGGCGAAAGCGGCGCACUGGACCACUACUGACGCUGAGGCGCGAAAGCUAGGGGAGCAAACAGG
rnacentral:rRNA from 1 species